CCUACGGGUGGCAGCAGUGGGGAAUAUUGCACAAUGGGGGAAACCCUGAUGCAGCGACGCCGCGUGAGUGAAGAAGUUUUUCGGGAUGUAAAGUCCUAUUAGCAGGGAAGAUAAUGACGGUACCUGACUAAUAAGCCCCGGCUAACUCCGUGCCAGCAGCCGCGGUAAUACGGAGGGGGCAAGCGUUACCCGGAUUUACUGGGCGUAAAGGGUGCGCAGGCGGGAGUGUAAGUCAGAAGUGAAAUCCCAUGGCUUAACCAUGGAACUGCAUUUGAAACUAUGAGGCUAGAGUGCGGGAGAGGUAGGCGGAAUUCCUGGUGUAGCGGUAAAAUCCGUAGAUAUUAAGAGGAACACCAAUUGCGAAGGCGACUUACUGGAAUAUAACUGACGCUGAUGCUCGAAAGCGUGGGGAGCAAACAGGAAUAGAUACCCGGGUAGUC
rnacentral:rRNA from 1 species